rnacentral:rRNA from 1 species
AUUGAACGCUGGCGUCAGGCCUAACACAUGCAAGUCGAACGAUUGGCGGACGGGUGAGUAAUGUCUUGGAAACUGCCUGAUGGAGGGGGAUAACUACUGGAAACGGUAGCUAAUACCGCAUACCAUCAGUUGGUCCCAGAUGGGAUUAGCUUGUUGGCGGGGGAACGGCUCACCAAGGCGACGAUCCCUCGCUGGUCUGAGAGGAUGACCAGCCACACGGGAACUGAGACACGGUCCAGACUCCGACGGGAGGCAGCAGUGGGGAAUAUUGCACAAUGGGCGCAAGCCUGAUGAAGCCAUGCCGCGUGUAUGAAGAAGGCCUUAGGGUUGUAAAGUACUUUCAGCGGGGAGGCGUUACCCGCAGAAGAAGCACCGGCUAACUCCGUGCCAGCCGCCGCGGUAAUAC